AUAGAUACCCUGGUAGUCCACGCCGUAAACGAUGAGUGCUAAGUGUUAGAGGGUUUCCGCCCUUUAGUGCUGCAGCUAACGCAUUAAGCACUCCGCCUGGGGAGUACGGCCGCAAGGCUGAAACUCAAAGGAAUUGACGGGGGCCCGCACAAGCGGUGGAGCAUGUGGUUUAAUUCGAAGCAACGCGAAGAACCUUACCAGGUCUUGACAUCCUCUGCCAACCCUAGAGAUAGGGCGUUCCCCUUCAGGGGACAGAGUGACAGGUGGUGCAUGGUUGUCGUCAGCUCGUGUCGUGAGAUGUUGGGUUAAGUCCCGCAACGAGCGCAACCCUUGAUCUUAGUUGCCAGCAUUCAGUUGGGCACUCUAAGGUGACUGCCGGUGACAAACCGGAGGAAGGUGGGGAUGACGUCAAAUCAUCAUGCCCCUUAUGACCUGGGCUACACACGUGCUACAAUGGAUGGUACAAAGAGCUGCGAACCCGCGAGGGUAAGCGAAUCUCAUAAAGCCAUUCUCAGUUCGGAUUGGU
rnacentral:rRNA from 1 species